GAAAAUACUGCCAUCUAGUGGGAAGUGUAGAAAAGUCUAACUUUCGAAACAAAUUAGUGUUCAACCAAAAAUGGCGGAUGGAGUUCAGGCACAGCCCAACCUCCAAAACAAUCAAGGUAAGGUUUGCCAAAGCUUUGAGGACGGCCGUCAUGUUGGCUAGGUAAGUUUGAUCUUCACUUCGUCAGUGUGGAAAUCGGAACCUGGAUUUUCCAUUUGUAUUUCCUUACUCAUCGUGACGCUGGCGUUCAGUAUUAAAUCGGUUAACACACGGAAUGCCAGUUGAAACCUAGUUUUUACCAAUGACCAGUAAUGAUAUAUUCUGCUUUUUAAAAUGUCGAAUAUUGAAGUUGCAAAGGAACUCCUAAGCUUUUGUCUUUUCGUAAAAAAAAAAAAAAAAAAAAAAAAACGUGUUCCGAGCCACAUGAUUAACGCACA